rnacentral:lncRNA from 1 species
UAUUGCAAGAUAUCCCCAGUGGAUCCCCCAGAACCUGCAGUGGCAAGUAAUCCGAGUUUUCAUUCGUGGAGAUUUAACACAGAGCCUCACCAUUCUAUCUUUGCUCACUGUGGGUGUGGAGAACAUACAGGAUUGCAAGAAAUGCUCUUGUUGUCUAACACUGCAGUCUGCCUCCAGCAACAAUUCCAGCCAGAGGCCUGAGUUACACUGUGUCUGA